CCUACGGGUGGCUGCAGUUAAGAAUCUUGCGCAAUGGGGGAAACCCUGACGCAGCGACGCCGCGUGGACGAUGAAGGCCUUCGGGUUGUAAAGUCCGAUAAGCGGGGAAGAAUAAGCAACGGGUAAUAUUCGUUGUGAUGACGGUACCUGCCUAAAGCCCCGGCUAACUACGUGCCAGCAGCCGCGGUAAUCGGUAUGGGGGUAGCGUUGUUCGGAAAAAUUGGGCGUAAAGGGCAAUUAGGUGGGGAAUGAAAUCCCUGGGCUCAACCCAGGAACUGCAUCUAAAACUGGUUCUCUUGAGUUCGGGAGAGGAGAGCGGAAUUCCCGGUGUAGCGGUGAAAUGCGUAGAUAUCGGGAAGAACACCAGUGGCGAAGGCGGCUCUCUGGCCUAGAACUGACGCUGAAGCGCGAAAGCGUGGGGAGCGAACGGGAUUAGAUACCCCGGUAGUC
rnacentral:rRNA from 1 species